rnacentral:rRNA from 1 species
CCUACGGGUGGCAGCAGUGGGGAAUAUUGCGCAAUGGGCGAAAGCCUGACGCAGCGACGCCGCGUGAGGGAUGAAGGUCUUCGGAUCGUAAACCUCUGUCAGCAGGGAAGCACGGUCACUGUGCUAAUCAGCAGUGAAUUGACGGUACCUGCAAAGGAAGCACCGGCUAACUCCGUGCCAGCAGCCGCGGUAAUGCGGAGGGUGCGAGCGUUAAUCGGAACUACUGGGCGUAAAGCUCUCGUAGGGGGGAUGUCAAGGCAAGGGUGAAAGCCCCGCACGCAACGUGGGAACUGCCGUUGAAACUGGCAAACUGGAGUGUGUGAGAGGAUAGUGGAAUUCGAGGUGUAGGAGUGAAAUCCGUAGAUAUCUGGAGGAACAUCAGUGGCGAAGGCGACUAUCUGGCACAUAACUGACGCUGAGGAGCGAAAGCGUGGGUAGCAAACAGGAUUAGAUACCCUAGUAGUC